rnacentral:rRNA from 1 species
CACGUAUGCACCAAGCGUUGUCCGGAUUUAUUGGGCGUAAAGAGCUCGUAGGCGGUUCAGUAAGUCGGGUGUGAAAACUUUGGGCUUAACCCAAAGCGUGCAUCCGAUACUGCUGUGACUUGAGUUCGGUAGGGGAGUGGGGAAUUCCUAGUGUAGCGGUGAAAUGCGCAGAUAUUAGGAGGAACACCGGUGGCGAAGGCGCCACUCUGGGCCGAAACUGACGCUGAGGAGCGAAAGCAUGGGUAGCAAACAGG